GUUGUGGCUCAGUGGUAGAGUGCUUGCCUAGCACACAUGAGGCCCUGGGUUCAAACCUCAGCAUUACA
rnacentral:tRNA from 1 species